GAUGAACGCUGGCGGCGUGCCUAAUACAUGCAAGUCGAGCGAACAGACGAGGAGCUUGCUCCUUUGACGUUAGCGGCGGACGGGUGAGUAACACGUGGAUAACCUACCUAUAAGACUGGGAUAACUUCGGGAAACCGGAGCUAAUACCGGAUAACAUGUUGAACCGCAUGGUUCAACAGUGAAAGACGGUCUUGCUGUCACUUAUAGAUGAUCCGCGCCGCAUUAGCUAGUUGGUAAGGUAACGGCUUACCAAGGCAACGAUGCGUAGCCGACCUGAGAGGGUGAUCGGCCACACUGGAACUGAGACACGGUCCAGACUCCUACGGGAGGCAGCAGUAGGGAAUCUUCCGCAAUGGGCGAAAGCCUGACGGAGCAACGCCGCGUGAGUGAAGAAGGUCUUCGGAUCGUAAAACUCUGUUAUUAGGGAAGAACAAAUGUGUAAGUAACUAUGCACGUCUUGACGGUACCUAAUCAGAAAGCCACGGCUAACUACGUG
rnacentral:rRNA from 1 species